UAGGGCGGCACAGAGGGAAGCCAGGUGGCGACACCGCGCGGACCGAAAGCCGUUCUCAGUUCGGAUCGGAGUCUGCAACCCGACUCCGUGAAGCUGGAUUCGCUAGUAAUCGCGCAUCAGCCAUGGCGCGGUGAAUACGUUCCCGGGCCUUGUACACACCGCCCGUCAAGCCAUGGGAGCCGGGGGUGCUUGAAGUGCGUCGCCGCAAGGCGCGCCCUAGAGCAAAACCGGUGACUGGGGCUAAGUCGUAACAAGGUAUC
rnacentral:rRNA from 1 species